CUUUCUAAGGAAGAUGUUGA
rnacentral:rRNA from 1 species